UUAGGAUUUACGUUUAGGGUUUAGAGUUGAUGUUUUAGGGUUUAGAUUUGAAGGUUUAGUGUUUUAGGGUUUAGGGUUCAAAUUUCAGAAAAAUAUAGGGUUUAAGGUUUAGGGUUUACGUUUAGGGUUUAGAGUUGAUGUUUUAGUGUUUAGAUUUGAAAGUUUAAAGUUUAGGAUUUAGAGUUGAUGUUUCGGGGUUUAUGGUUUAGAGUUGAUGUUUCAUGGUUUAGGGUUUAGAGUUGAUAAUUUAGGGUUUAAAGUUAAUGUUUUAAGUUUAGAUUUAGGGUUUAGGGUUUACGUUUAGGGUUUAGAGUUGAUGUUUUAGAAUUUAGAUUUGAAGGUUUAGGGUUUAGGGUUUAGAGUUGAUGUUUCGGGGUUUAGGGUUUGUAGGGUUUAGAGUUGAUGUUUCGUGGUUUAGAGUUUAAAAUUGAUGAUUUUAGGGUUUAGAGUUGAUGUUUUAAGUUUAAAUUAGUUAACCAUAUGUUUUUUUUGUCAAAGUUAAUCAAAAUGUUAUAAAUGCAUUUUACACUUCAUUAGUGUAAACAUAAAAAGUGGUACUCUGAAAAUGAUAUUUUUGGCAAUUUCCGUAGUAAAAUGGAAAAUCAGAAGGAAAUUCGUAAUAUUAACAAAACAUUAU
rnacentral:lncRNA from 1 species